UGAACUGAAACAUCUCAGUAACCCGAGGAAAGGAAAGCAACAGCGACUCCCUGAGUAGCGGCGAGCGAAACGGGAGCAGCCCAAACCGAACUGGUGCCAAGCCUGGUGGCGUUGCCAGUUCGGGGUUGUGGGACUUGAUAGAUGGUGCACCAGAACCAUCACAGAGUUACCAAUCUGCUAUCUAGUGGAAGCGUUCAGGAACGGCGCGCCACAGAAGGUAAGAGCCCUGUACACGAAAGAUACGCAGACUCUGAUCGAUGUUCCCAAGUAGUGCCGGAACCGUGAAAGCUGGCAUGAAUCUGCGAGGACCACCUCGUAAGGCUAAGUAUCAGUAGACGACCGAUAGUGAACAAGUACCGUGAGGGAAAGGUGAAAAGUACCCCGGGAGGGGAGUGAAAUAGUACCUGAAACCGUUGGUUUACAAUCAGUCAGAGCGUCGUCAUGACUUCGGUCAUGGCCGCGAUGGCGUGCCUUUUGAAGAAUGAGCCAGCGAGUUAUGGCAUGUGGCAAGGUUAACCAGUGAUGGGGAGCCGGAGCGAAAGCGAGUCUGAACAGGGCGUUCAGUCGCAUGC
rnacentral:rRNA from 1 species